GACGAACGCUGGCGGCGUGCUUAACACAUGCAAGUCGAACGGAAAGGCCCUGCUUUUGUGGGGUGCUCGAGUGGCGAACGGGUGAGUAACACGUGAGUAACCUGCCCUUGACUUUGGGAUAACUUCAGGAAACUGGGGCUAAUACCGGAUAGGAGCUCCUGCUGCAUGGUGGGGGUUGGAACGUUUCGGCUGUUGGGGAUGGACUCGCGGCUUAUCAGCUUGUUGGUGGGGUAGUGGCUUACCAAGGCUUUGACGGGUAGCCGGCCUGAGAGGGUGACCGGCGACAUGGGGACUGAGAUACGGCCCAGACGCCUACGGGAGGCAGCGGGGGGGAAUAUUGCACAAUGGGCGGAAGCCUGAUGCAGAAACGCCGCGUGCGGGAUGACGGCCUUCGGGUUGUAAACCGCUUUCGCCUGUGACGAAGCGUGAGUGACGGUAAUGGGUAAAGAAGCACCGGCUAACUACGUG
rnacentral:rRNA from 1 species